rnacentral:lncRNA from 1 species
CCGUGUUGUAGUUUCUUGCUAGACGGGUCAUGGUGCUUCUUUCAGUUUUUUCUUCCAGCAAUAAAUCAGCCCAUGCUAGUAGGUCGUGACCGUGAAGCACCCUUUUCUUUAAUCAAAAUGUAAGUGUAUAAGUGAUAAGCCUCUCCAUUGUGUGCGUGAAAUUGGAACUUGGAAGAGAAGGAAUUCCAACAACCGACAGCGGAAAAGGAUGAGAUGUAGUGAGUGGCUGUGACGGCAGAGAAGGAGGUGGUGUGGUCCUAGCUUCAGGCAGCCUCCAUUGUUGGAAGAAAGCUAAGAGGUGGGAGAGAGUUGAGAGAAGAAGUGACUUUGGCAAGCAUUUGCUAAGUUGAGAAGAAUUUCAGAAUUUGCAGAAAUUUCUCAUAGANNN